ACAGGACAGCAGGACAGAGACACCAGCCCUGGGAAGCCACUAGGAUUUCUGCAGAGGGCCGUUUCCACAUCAGAAAACUGGGAACCCUUUGUGCACAUAACGCUUGACACGAAGAAGGACCUCGGAGCCAAGUGGGAACCAACACUGUUUAAAGCUGGCAGUGAGGUGUGCGGGCUCAUCUGUGGCCAAGUGCCCAGGAAAGAGAGGCAGCCCAGUAGAUCGUGCUUCCCGUGAGGGAGACUCGCUGCUGCCAAUGACAGACUCAAAACAUCGUGACCCGGCCACAGGAUCAUGGAGCUCUUCGCUCAUCGCUGUGGGUGCCGGGACGUUGCAUGUUUUUUCCCUUGCAGAGGCCAUCGCUGUGGGCGCCAGGACAUCUGUCCUUUGUGGGCAUGUUGAGGCUUCUCUGUGAAGGACCCACAUGGAGUCAGGCUGCUUGUGGCAAGAGGCCCUGGCUUAAUCUUCACAGGUGGAAGAGACCUGAGGGCUCAUCUCACCUAACCCCAAAUUUUCUAGACAACGUUCUGCUUGAGUUUCAGGAGGUGGAUCUGGAGCCAGCAGCCCUCCUGUGAGAACACUGGCCUGAGCCCCUCAAGCCGCCCCUCGUCUCUGAAUGGGGGUCAUUUUGGCCCUUGGUGGGCAGCUUCUUGGGAGAUGGUUUGGAAAUGGAGAUACUUUGUUGAAUAAACGAUUAUACUACAACUUCUGCUAUCUUCAGACAUACAUGGAAAUGCACCGCACAGAUCACACUGAUGUGGACACGCCCACCUCCUGCCAGCUGCUCGUGGUCAUGAUGUGGAUGAGGAGCUGAGUCACGAUGUGGACGAGGAGCUGAGUCGCGAUGUGGACGAGGAGCUGAGUCGCGAUGUGGACGAGGAGCUGAGUCCCGAUGUGGACGAGGAGCUGAGUCGCGAUGUGGAUGAGGAGCUGAGUCUUCUUUUACCCCUUUAAAGGGGGAAUGUGGGUUUCAGGAACACGUCAGCUUGGAGUCAUUUCUGUGUCUGAAUCUGCUUCAUACACACGUCUCCAAAUACUUAAAAUGAUUGAAAAAACCUUUGAAUAAAAGCUUGGGAAUUUCAUCUUG
rnacentral:lncRNA from 10 species